rnacentral:rRNA from 1 species
GUGAGUAGUUCAGAGUUUGAUCCUGGCUCAGGACGAACGCUGGCGGCGUGCCUAACACAUGCAAGUCGAACGGGGUAGAGAGCUUCGGUUUUCUACUUAGUGGCGAACGGGUGAGUAACGCGUGAGAAACCUGCCUUUCAGUGGGGGACAACAGUUGGAAACGACUGCUAAUACCGCAUAAUGUUAUUUGGGGGCAUCCUCGGAUAACCAAAGAUUUAUUGCUGAAAGAUGGUCUCGCGUCUGAUUAGCUAGAUGGCGGGAUAACGGCCCACCAUGGCGACGAUCAGUAGCCGGUCUGAGAGGAUGAACGGCCACAUUGGGACUGAGACACGGCCCAA